GGAACAUUCAUCCCUUUCUGAAACCAACUGUGACUCCAGUUCUUCGUUUGGCCUACUAAACUACCUACCUAUACCAGGGGAGAGAGGCCUACAGAACACACAUUGUGGUCUCUCAGACCAUGGACGACUAUGAGCAACCAAGACCAAGACCAGGAGGUUAACAUCCCAUCCAAAAGCCUGGAGUAUUUGACAACCAAUAAAGACCAGAUGAAUUUGCCACCUGAACAACAGAUGACACUGUUUCUACCCAGAUUGAGUUUCAGAGACACAUAUAUGGACCAGGGUGAGAUUCCCUAACUCUGGACACAUAGACAGUCAGUAUUUUCAAGCAGGCCCUGAAGUAUCUACAGAAAUUAUGGGCACUGCAAGCUCCACAAAGGAGCAAAGACAGGGCAAGGAAGGAAAUGGGCCAUUCCUUUUCAGAUGAUAGAUAUGAUGAGAAACACAGUGAACAGUGAUCCUAUUCUAUCUGCUUUACAUCCAUUCAUCAGAAAAAGACCUAGGUCAUCUUUUGGCCCAGACCAGAGAAUGAUAAAAGACACUUGGAUAUGUCUCUCCUCUUGGAAGAGAAUGUGGAUUGCUGCCUAUUCUGUAAUGGAGUUGCUGAGAGGUCUUCUGGACCUGGUCCAAAGAAUGCCAUUGCAAAGACCACUGAAACUUAUGCAGUACCAACUGGACAAUCUUCCUCUGUUCAAUGUGGACUGGUACAUUCUCCCAUCUAAUCAAAAUUCUCUGAAACAUGCCCCAUCUACUGAACAGAUUUAAAACUUCAAAAUCUGUUUCUGGUUCUAGUUACACCUCUACACCUGUCCGUGGGAGGCAGAGAACUUACAAAUAUCUGGAAGAUGAACCCAUACGUGUCAGCUCUCCAGAACAGGGCCAUAUUUCAUAGGCAAUCUAUUAGCAUGUGUCUUUUUAUUAGUAUAUUAUGUCCACUGAUAUUAAAAGAUAAUAACCUG
rnacentral:lncRNA from 1 species